AACGUACUCCCUCCGUUCCGAAUUACUUGUCUUGGAUUUGUCUAGAUACAGAUGUAUCUAGCUAGCUAGAUACAUCUGUAUCUAGACAAAUCCAAGACAAGUAAUUCGGAACGGAGGGAGUACGUC
rfam:Triticum aestivum genome assembly, contig: Triticum_aestivum_CS42_TGACv1_scaffold_290498_4AL